GGCUCCUUGGGGCUUGUAUAUAAGGAGUCGGACCUGCCCGGUGACUAGAAUGUUAAACGGCCGCGGUACCCUAACCGUGCAAAGGUAGCAUAAUCAUUUGCCUUUUAAUUGGAGGCUUGUAUGAAUGGUUUGACGAGAGCUAAGCUGUCUCUUUUGGAAUAUUUAGAAAUUAACUUUUAGGUGAAGAGGCCUAAAUAAAGUUGAGGGACAAGAAGACCCUGUUGAGCUUUAGUGUCGUGCUGGAGUUACUGUAUUAAUCUAGGAUUGUUUGUUAGGUUAGUUUCAUGUAUUUAAUAUAAUGUUGUUUUAGUGCUAUAUCUUUAGUUGGGGCGACUGAGGAACAUUUAAAGCUUCCUUUAGAUUAUAUGAACGUUUUUAAGAAUAAAUAUUGCUACUGGCAAGUUAACAUUAGAUCCAGUAUUUAUUGAUUAAAGGAAAAAGUUACCACAGGGAUAACAGCGUAAUCUUUCUGGAGAGAUCUUAUCGAAAGGAGGGUUUGCGACCUCGAUGUUGGACUAAGAUAUCCUAAGGGUGUAGAAGCUCUUAAUGGUUGGUC
rnacentral:rRNA from 1 species